rnacentral:lncRNA from 1 species
UUGUUCCGGUUUUGGUUCUUGUGUAGGUCGACAUCGAUUCGUUCCAAAUUUACACUCUCGGGGCACAAUAGAACAAUAUAAUUAGCUUUUACUCUUUGUUCGAUUAAAUGAGAAAAAGUACUCGUUUCAAAGUUAUACUGUUAGGGCGCAACUGAGUAGUCUUUUUUGUUCCGGUUAUUGUUCUUUUAAAGGUUGACAUCAAUUCGUUGCAUAUUUACACUCUCGGGGUAUAAUAGAACAAUAUAAUUAGCUUUUGCUCUUUGUUCGAUUGAAUGUUAAAAAGUACUCGUCGCAAAGUUAUACUGUUAGGGCGCAACUGAGUAGUCUACUUUUGUUCCGGUUUAGGUUCUUUUGAAGGUUGACAUCCAUUCGUUCCAUAUUUACACUCUCGCGGUAUAAUAGAACAAUAUAAUUAGCUUUACUCUUUAUUCGAUUGAAUGAGAAAAAGUACUCGUCGCAAAGUUAUAUUGUUAGGGCGGAACUGAUUAGUCUUUUUUUGUUCCGGUUUUGGUUCUUGUGAAGGUUGACAUCGAUUCGUUCCAAAUUUACACUCUCCGGACACAAUAGAACAAUAUAAUUUGCUUUUACUCUCUGUUCGAUUAAAUGAGAAAUAGUACUCGUUGCAAAGUUAUGCUGUUAGGGCGCAUCUGAGUAGUCUACUUUUGUUCCAGUUUUGGUGUUUUUGAAGGUUGACAUCCAUUCGUACCAUAUUUACACUCUCGCGGUAUAAUAGAACAAUAUAAUUAGAUUUUACUCUUUGUUCGAUUGAAUAAGAAAAAGUACUCGUUCCAAAGUUAUACUGUUUGGGCGCAACUGAGUAGUCUAUUUUUGUUCCGGUUUUGGUUCUUAUGAAUGUUGACAUCGAUUCCAAAUUUACACUCUCGGGGCACAAUAGAACAAUAUAAUUAGCUUUAACUCUUUAUUGGAUUAAAUGAGAAAAAGUACUCGUUGCAAUGUUAUACUGUUAGGGCGCAACUGGGUAGUUUUUUUUGUUCCGGUUUUUGUUCUUUUAAAGGUUGACAUCAAUUCGUUCCAUAUUUACACUCUCGGGGUAUAAUAGAACAAUAUAAUUCGCUUUUACUCUUUGUUCGAUUGAAUGAUAAAAAGUACUCGUUACAAAGAUAUACAGUUAGGGCGUAACUGAGUAGUCUACUUUUGUUCCGGUUUAGGUUCUUUUGAAGGUUGACAUCCAUUCGUUCCAUAUUUACACUCUCGCGGUAUAAUAGAACAAUAUAAUUAUAUUUUACUCUUUGUUCGAUUGAAUGAGAAAAAGUACUCUUUGCAAAGUUAUACUGUUAGGGCACAAUUGAGUAGUCUAUUUUUGUUCCGGUUUUGGUUCUUGUGAAGGUUGACAUCGAUUCGUUCCAAAUUUACACUCUCGGGGCAUAAUAGAACAAUAUAAUUAGCUUUCGCUCUUUGUUCGAUUGAAUGAGAAAAAGUACUCGUCGCAAAGCUAUAUUGUUAGGGCGGAACUGAGUAGUCAUUUUUUGUUCCGGUUUUGGUUCUUGUGAAGGUUGACAUCGAUUUGUUCCAUAUUUACACUCUCGCGGUAUAAUAGAAUAAUAUAAUUAGCUUUUACUCUUUGUUCGAUUGAAUGUGAAAAUGUAUUCGUUGCAAAGUUAUACUGUUAGGGCGCAACUGAGUAGUCUAUUUUUGUUCCGGUUUUGGUUCUUGUGAAGGUUGACAUCGAUUCGUUCCAAAUUUACACUCUCAGGACAAAAUAGAACAAUAUAAUUAGAUUUUACUCUUUGUUCGAUUAAAUGAGAAAUAGUACUCGUUGCAAAGUUAUGCUGUUAGAGCGCAUCUGAGUAGUCUAUUUUUGUUACUGUUUUGGUUCUUUUAUAGGUUGACGUCAAUUCGUUCCAUAUUUACACUCUCGGGGUAUAAUAGAACAAUAUAAUUAGCUUUUACCCUUUGUUCGAUUGAAUGAAAAAAAGUACUCGUUGCAAAGUUAUACUGUUAGGGCGCAACUGAGUAGUCUAUUUUUGUUCCGGUUUUCGUUCUUGUGAAUGUUGAUAUCGAUUCGUUCCAAAUUUACACUCUCGGGGCACAAUAGAACAAUAUAAUUAGCUUUAACUCUUUAUUCGAUUAAAUGAGAAAAAGUACUCGUUGCAAAGUUAUACUGUUAGGGCGCAACUGAGUAGUCUUUUUUUGUUCCGGUUUUGGUUCUUUUAAAGUUUGACAUCAAUUCGUUCCAUAUUUACACUCUCGGUGUAUAAUAGAACAAUAUAAUUAGCUUUUACUCUUUGUUCGAUUGAAUGAGAAAAAGUACUCGUCGCAAAGUUAUAUUGUUAGGGCGAAACUGAGUAGUGUUUUUUUGUUCCGGUUUUGAUUCUUGUGAAGGUUGACAUCGAUUCGUUCUAAAUUUACACUCUCUGGACACAAUAGAACAAUAUAAUUAGCUUUUACUCUUUGUUCGAUUAAAUGAGAAAUAGUACUCGUUGCAAAGUUAUACUGUUAGGGCACAACUGAUUAGUCUAUUUUUGUUCCGGUUUUGGUUCUUAUGAAUGUUGACAUCGAUUCGUUCCAAAUUUACACUCUCAGUACGCAACGAUAUACUGUUAGGGCGCAACUGAGUAGUGUAUUUUUGUUCCAGUUUUGGUUCUUGUGAAGGUUGACAUCGAUUCGUUCCAAAUUGACAUUCUCUGGGCAUAAUUAGAACAAUAUAAUUUGCUUUUACUCUUUGUUCGAUUGAAUGAGAAAAAGUACUGGUCGCAAAGUUAUAUUGUUAGGGCGGAACUGAGUAGUCUUUUUUUGUUCCGGUUUUGGUUCUUGUGAAGGUUGACCUCGAUUCGUUCCAAAUUUACACUCUCCGGACACAAUAGAACAAUAUAAUUAGCUUUUACUCUCUGUUCGAUUAAAUGAGAAAUAGUACUCGUUGCAAUAUUAUACUGUUAGGGCGCAUCUGAGUAGUCUCCUUUUGUUCCGGUUUUGGUGUUUUUGAAGGUUGAUAUCCAUUCGUACCAUAUUUACACUCUCGCGGUAUAAUAGAACAAUAUAAUUAGAUUUUACUCUUUGUUCGAUUGAAUAAGAAAAAGUACUCGUUGCAAAGUUAUACUGUUAGGGCGCAACUGAGUAGUCUAUUUUUGUUCCAGUUUUGGUUCUUGUGAAUGUUGACAUCGAUUCGUUCCAAAUUUACACUCUCGGGACACAAUAGAACAAUAUAAUUAGCUUUAACUCUUUAUUGUAUUAAAUGAGAAAAAGUACUCGUUGCAAAGUUAUACUGUUGGGGUGCAACUGAGUAGUCUUUUUUUGUUCCGGUUUUGGUUCUUUUAAAGGUUGACAUCAAUUCGUUCCAUAUUUACACUCUCGGGGUAUAAUAGAACAAUAUAAUUAGCUUUUACUCUUUGUUCGAUUGAAUGAUAAAAAGUACUCGUUACAAAGUUAUACAGUUAGGGCGUAACUGAGUAGUCUACAUUUGUUCCGGUUUAGGUUCUUUUGAAAGUUGACAUCCAUUCGUUCUAUAUUUACACUCUCGCGGUAUAAUAGAAUAUUAUAAUUAGAUUUUACUCUUUGUUCGAUUGAAUAAGAAAAAGUACUCGUUGCAAAGUUAUACUGUUAGGGCACAAUUGAGUAGUCUAUCUUUGUUCCGGUUUUGGUUCUUGUGUAGGUUGACAUCGAUUCGUUCCAAAUUUACACUCUCAGGACACAAUAGAACAAUAUAAUUAGCUUUUCUCUUUAUUGGAUUAAAUGAGAAAAAGUACUCGUUGCAAAGUUAUACUGUUAGGGCGCAACUGAGUAGUCUUUUUUUGUUCCGGUUUUUGUUCUUUUAAAGGUUGACAUCAAUUCGUUCCAUAUUUACACUCUCGGGGUAUAAUAGAACAAUAUAAUUCGCUUUUACUUUUUGUUCGAUUUAAUAAUAAAAAGUACUCGUUACAAAGUUAUACAGUUAGCGCGUAACUGAGUAGUCUACUUUUGUUCCGGUUUAGGUUCUUUCGAAGGUUGACAUCCAUUCGUUCCAUAUUUACACUCUCGAGGUAUAAUAGAACAAUAUAAAUAGGUUUUUCUCUUUUGUUCGAUAGAUUGAGAAAAAGUACUCGUCGCAAAGUUAUACUGUUAGGACGUAACUGAGUAUUCUAAUGUUGUUCCGAUUUUUGUUCUUGUGAUUGACAUCAAUUCGUUCCAUAUUUACACUCUCGGGGUAUAAUAGAACAAUAUAAUUAGCUUUUACUCUUCGUUCGAUUGAAUGAUAAAAAGUACUCGUUGCAAAGUUAUACUGUUAGGGCGCAACUGAGUAGUCUACUUUUGUUCGGUUUAGGUUCUUUUGAAGGUUGACAUCCAUUCGUACCAUAUUUACACUCUCGCGGUAUAAUAGAACAAUAUAAUUAGAUUUUACUCUUUGUUCGAUUGAAUAAAAAAAAGUACUCGUUCCAAAGUUAUAUUGUUUGGGCGCAACUGAGUAGUCUAUUUUUGUUCCGGUUUUGAUUCUUGUGAAGGUUGACAUCGAUUCGUUCCAAAUUUACACUCUCGGGGCACAAUAGAACAUUAUAAUUAGCUUUAACUCUUUAUUGGAUUAAAUGAGAAAAAGUACUCGUUGCAAAGUUAUACUGUUAGGGCUCAACUGAGUAGUCUAUUUUUGUUCCGAUUAUUGUUCUUUUAAUGGUUGACAUCAAUUCGUUCCAUAUUUACACUCUCGGGUUAUAAUAGAACAAUAUAAUUCGCUUUUACUCUUUGUUCGAUUGAAUGAUAAAAAGUACUCGUUACAAAGAUAUACAGUUAGGGUGUAACUGAGUAGUCUACUUUUGUUCCGGUUUAGGUUCUUUUGAAGGUUGACAUCCAUUCGUUCUAUAUUUACACUCUCGGGGUAUAAUAGAACAUUAUAAUUAGAUUUUACUCUUUGUUCGAUUGAAAGAUAAAAAGUACUCGUCGUAAAGUUACAUUGUUAGGGCGGAACUGAGUAGUCAUUUUUUGUUCCUUUUUUGGUUCUUGUGAAGGUUGACCUCGAUUCGUUCCAAAUUUACACUCUCGGGGCACAAUAGAACAAUAUAAUUAGCUUUUACUCUUUGUUCGAUUAAAUGAGAAAAAGUACUCGUUGCAAAGUUUUACUGUUAGGGCGCAACUGAGUAGUCUUUUUUUGUUCCGGUUUUGGUUCUUUUGAAGGUUGACAUCCAUUCGUUCCAUAUUUACACUCUCGCGAUAUAAUAGAACAAUAUAAUUAGCUAUUACUCUUUGUUCGAUUGAAUGAGAAAAAGUACUCGUUGCAAGUUAUCCUGUUAGGGCGCAACUGAGUAGUCUAUUUUUGUUCCAGUUUUGGUUCUUGUGAAGUUUGACAUCGAUUCGUUCCAAAUUUACACUCUCGGGGCAUAAUAGAACAAUAUAAUUUGCUUUUACUCUUUGUUCGAUUGAAUGAGAAAAAGUACUGGUCGCAAAGUUAUAUUGUUAGGGCGGAACUGAGUAGUCUUUUUUUGUUCCGGUUUUGGUUCUUGUGAAGGUUGACCUCGAUUCGUUCCAAAUUUACACUCUCCGGACACAAUAGAACAAUAUAAUUAGCUUUUACUCUCUGUUCGAUUAAAUGAGAAAUAGUACUCGUUGCAAUAUUAUACUGUUAGGGCGCAUCUGAGUAGUCUCCUUUUGUUCCGGUUUUGGUGUUUUUGAAGGUUGAUAUCCAUUCGUACCAUAUUUACACUCUCGCGGUAUAAUAGAACAAUAUAAUUAGAUUUUACUCUUUGUUCGAUUGAAUAAGAAAAAGUACUCGUUGCAAAGUUAUACUGUUAGGGCGCAACUGAGUAGUCUAUUUUUGUUCCAGUUUUGGUUCUUGUGAAUGUUGACAUCGAUUCGUUCCAAAUUUACACUCUCGGGACACAAUAGAACAAUAUAAUUAGCUUUAACUCUUUAUUGUAUUAAAUGAGAAAAAGUACUCGUUGCAAAGUUAUACUGUUGGGGUGCAACUGAGUAGUCUUUUUUUGUUCCGGUUUUGGUUCUUUUAAAGGUUGACAUCAAUUCGUUCCAUAUUUACACUCUCGGGGUAUAAUAGAACAAUAUAAUUAGCUUUUACUCUUUGUUCGAUUGAAUGAUAAAAAGUACUCGUUACAAAGUUAUACAGUUAGGGCGUAACUGAGUAGUCUACAUUUGUUCCGGUUUAGGUUCUUUUGAAAGUUGACAUCCAUUCGUACCAUAUUUACACUCUCGCGGUAUAUUAGAACAAUAUAAUUCGAUUUUACUCUUUGUUCGAUUGAAUAAAAAAAAGUACUCGUUCCAAAGUUAUACUGUUUGGGCGCAACUGAGUAGUCUAUUUUUUUUCCGGUUUUGGUUCUUGUGAAUGUUGACAUCGAUUAGUUCCAAAUUUACACUCUCGGGGCACAAUAGAACAAUAUAAUUAGAUUUAACUCUUUAUUGGAUUAAAUGAGAAAAAGUACUCGUUGCAAAGUUAUACUGUUAGGGCGCAACUGAGUAGUCUUUUUUUGUUCCGGUUUUUGUUCUUUUAAAGGUUGACAUCAAUUCGUUCCAUAUUUACACUCUCGGGGUAUAAUAGAACAAUAUAAUUCGCUUUUACUUUUUGUUCGAUUUAAUAAUAAAAAGUACUCGUUACAAAGUUAUACAGUUAGCGCGUAACUGAGUAGUCUACUUUUGUUCCGGUUUAGGUUCUUUCGAAGGUUGACAUCCAUUCGUUCCAUAUUUACACUCUCGCGGUAUAAUAGAAUAAUAUAAUUAGAUUUUACUCUUUGUUCGAUUGAAUGAGAAAAAGUACUCGUUGCAAAGUUAUAUUGUUAGGGCGGAACUGAGUAGUCUUUUUUUGUUCCGUUUUUUGUUCUUGUGAAGGUUGAUAUCGAUUCGUUCCAAAUUUACACUCUCAGGACACAAUAGAAAAAUAUAAUUAGCUUUUACACUUUGUUCGAUUGAAUGAGAAAAAGUACUCGUUGCAAAGUUAUACUGUUAGGACGCAACUGAGUAGUCUUUUUUGUUCCGGUUAUUGUUCUUUUAAAGGUUGACAUCAAUUCGUUGCAUAUUUACACUCUCGGGGUAUAAUAGAAUAAUAUAAUUAUCUUUUACUCUUUGUUCGAUUGAAUGAUAAAAAGUACUCGUUGCAAGUUAUACUGUUAGGGCGCAACUGAGUAGUCUAUUUUUGUUCCGGUUUUCGUUCUUGUGAAUGUUGAUAUCGAUUCGUUCCAAAUUUACACUCUCGGGGCACAAUAGAACAAUAUAAUUAGCUUUAACUCUUUAUUCGAUUAAAUGAGAAAAAGUACUCGUUGCAAAGUUAUACUGUUAGGGCGCAACUGAGUAGUCUUUUUUUGUUCCGGUUUUGGUUCUUUUAAAGUUUGACAUCAAUUCGUUCCAUAUUUACACUCUCGGUGUAUAAUAGAACAAUAUAAUUAGCUUUUACUGUUUGUUCGAUUGAAUGAUAAAAAUUACUCGUUACAAAGUUAUACAGUUAGGGCGUAACUGAGUAGUCUACUUUUGUUCCGGUUUUGGUGUGUUUGAAGGUUGACAUCCAUUCGUACCAUAUUUACACUCUCGCGGUAUAAUAGAACAAUAUAAUUAGAUUUUACUCUUUGUUCGAUUGAAUAAGAAAAAGUACUCGUUCCAAAGUUAUACUGUUUGGGCGCAACUGAGUAGUCUAUUUUUGUUCCGGUUUUGGUUCUUGUGAAUGUUGAGAUCGAUUCGUUCCAUAUUUACACUCUCUGGGCAUAAUAGAACAAUAUAAUUAGCUUUAACUCUUUAUUGGAUUAAAUGAGAAAAAGUACUCGUUGCAAUGUUAUACUGUUAGGGCGCAACUGAGUAGUCUUUUUUUGUUCCGAUUUUGGUUCUUUUAUAGGUUGACAUCAAUUCGUUCCAUAUUUACACUCGCGGGGUAUAAUUGAACAAUAUAAUUAGCUUUUACUCUUUGUUCGAUUCAAUGAUAAAAAGCACUCGUUACAAAGUUAUACAGUUAGGGCGUAACUGAGUAGUCUACAUUUGUUCCGGUUUAGGUUCUUUUGAAGGUUGACAUCCAUUCGUUCCAUAUUUAUACUCUCGCGGUAUAAUAGAACAAUAUAAUUAGCUUUUACUAUUUGUUCGAUUGAAUGAGAAAAAGUACUCGUCGCUAAGUUAUAUUGUUAGGGCGGAACUGAGUAGUCUUUUUUUGUUCCGUUUUGGUUCUUGUGAAGGUUGACAUCGAUUCGUUCCAAAUUUACACUCUCCAGACACAAUAGAACAAUAUAAUUAUCUUUUACUCUCUGUUCGAUUAAAUGACAAAUAGUACUCGUUGCAAAGUUAUACUGUUAGGGCGCAUCUGAGUAGUCUACUUUUGUUCCGAUUUUGGUGUUUUUGAAGGUUGACAUCCAUUCGUACCAUAUUUACACCCUCGCGGUAUAAUAGAACAAUAUAAUUAGAUUUUACUCUUUGUUCGAUUGAAUGAUAAAAAGUACUCGUUGCAAAGUUAUACUGUUAGGGCACAACUGAGUAGUCUACUUUUGUUCCGGUUUAGGUUCUUUUGAAGGUUGACAUCCAUUCGUUCCAUAUUUAUACUCUCGCGGUAUAAUAGAACAAUAUAAUUAGCUUUUACUAUUUGUUCGAUUGAAUGAGAAAAAGUACUCGUCGCUAAGUUAUAUUGUUAGGGCGGAACUGAGUAGUCUUUUUUUGUUCCGUUUUGGUUCUUGUGAAGGUUGACAUCGAUUCGUUCCAAAUUUACACUCUCCAGACACAAUAGAACAAUAUAAUUAUCUUUUACUCUCUGUUCGAUUAAAUGAGAAAUAGUACUCGUUGCAAAGUUAUACUGUUAGGGCGCAUCUGAGUAGUCUACUUUUGUUCCGGUUUUGGUGUUUUUGAAGGUUGACAUCCAUUCGUACCAUAUUUACACUCUCGCGGUAUAAUAGAACAAUAUAAUUAGAUUUUACUCUUUGUUCGAUUGAAUAAAAAAAAGUACUCGUUCCGAAGUUAUACUGUUUGGGCGCAACUGAGCAGUCUUUUUUGUUCCGGUUUUUGUUCUUUUAAAGGUUGACAUCAAUUCGUUCCAUAUUUACACCUCUGCGCAUAAUAGAACAAUAUAAUUAGCUUUUACUCUUUGUUCGAUUAAAUGAGAAAAAGUACUCGUUACAAAGUUAUACUGUUAGGACGCAACUGAGUAGUCUUUUUUGUUCCGAUUUUUAUUCUUUUAAAGGUUGACAUCAAUUCGUUCCAUAUUUACACUCUCGGGGUAUAAUAGAACAAUAUAAUUACCUUUUACUCUUUGUUCGAUUGAAUGAUAAAAAGUACUCGUUGCAAAGUUAUACUGUUAGGGCACAACUGAGUAGUCUACUUUUGUUCCGGUUUUGGUGUUUUUGAAGGUUGACAUCCAUUCGUACCAUAUUUACACUCUCGCGGUAUAAUAGAACAAUAUAAUUAUAUUUUACUCUUUGUUCGAUUGAAUAAGAAAAAGAACUCGUUCCAAAGUUAUACCGUUUCGGCGCAACUGAGUAGUCUAUUUUUGUUCCGGUUUUGGUUCUUGUGAAUGUUGACAUCGAUUCGUUCCAAAUUUACACUCUCGGGGCACAAUAGAACAUUAUAAUUAGCUUUUACUCUUUGUUCGAUUAAAUGAGAAAAAAUACUCGUUGCAAAGUUAUACUGUUAGGGCGCAACUGAUUAGUCUUUUUUUGUUCCGAUUAUUGUUCUUUUAAAGGUUGACAUCAAUUCGUUCCAUAUUUACACUCUCGGGGUAUAAUAGAACAAUAUAAUUACCUUUUACUCUUUGUUCGAUUGAAUGAUAAAAAGUACUCGUUACAAAGUUAUACUGUUAGAGCGCAACUGAGUAGUCUACUUUUGUUCCGGUUUAGGUUCUUCUGAAGGUUGACAUCCAUUCGUUCCAUAUUUACACUCUCGCGGUAUAAUAGAACAAGAUAAUUAGCUUUUACUCUUUGUUCGAUUGAAAGAGAAAAAGUACUCGUUGCAAAGUUAUACUGUUAUGGCACAACUGUGUAGUCUAUUUUUGUUCCAGUUUUGGUUCUUGUGUAG